GCUUUCGUGGCGUAGCGGUUAGCACGCUCGACGUGUAUUCGAGAGGUCCGUGGUUCGAGUCCCGGAGAGGGCA
rfam:Stegodyphus mimosarum contig11056, whole genome shotgun sequence.